rnacentral:rRNA from 1 species
GGACGAACGCUGGCGGCGUGCCUAAUACAUGCAAGUCGAACGCACUGACGUCGACAGAAGGUGCUUGCACUGGAAGUUGAUUGACGUGAGUGGCAGACGGGUGAGUAACACGUGGGUAACCUGCCCUUAAGCGGGGGAUAACAUUUGGAAACAGAUGCUAAUACCGCAUAAAAGUUGAGAUCACAUGGUCUUAAUUUGAAAGGCGGCCUUUGGCUGUCACUUAAGGAUGGACCCGCGGCGUAUUAGCUAGUUGGUGAGAUAAUAGCCCACCAAGGCGAUGAUACGUAGCCGACCUGAGAGGGUAAUCGGCCACAUUGGGACUGAGACACGGCCCAAACUCCUACGGGAGGCAGCAGUAGGGAAUCUUCCACAAUGGACGAAAGUCUGAUGGAGCAACGCCGCGUGAGUGAAGAAGGUUUUCGGAUCGUAAAACUCUGUUGUUGGAGAAGAACAGGGACUAGAGUAACUGUUAGUCCUUUGACGGUAUCCAACCAGAAAGCCACGGCUAACUACGUGCCAGCAGCCGCGGUAAUACGUAGGUGGCAAGCGUUGUCCGGAUUCAUUGGGCGUAAAGCGAGCGCAGGCGGUUUCUUAAGUCUGAUGUGAAAGCCUUCGGCUUAACCGAAGAAGUGCAUCAGAUACUGGGAAACUUGAGUGCAGAAGAGGAAAGUGGAACUCCAUGUGUAGCGGUGAAAUGCGUAGAUAUAUGGAAGAACACCAGUGGCGAAGGCGGCUUUCUGGUCUGUAACUGACGCUGAGGCUCGAAAGUAUGGGGAGCGAACAGGAUUAGAUACCCUGGUAGUCCAUACCGUAAACGAUGAAUGCUAAGUGUUGGAGGGUUUCCGCCCUUCAGUGCUGCAGCUAACGCAUUAAGCAUUCCGCCUGGGGAGUACGACCGCAAGGUUGAAACUCAAAGGAAUUGACGGGGGCCCGCACAAGCGGUGGAGCAUGUGGUUUAAUUCGAAGCUACGCGAAGAACCUUACCAGGUCUUGACAUCUAGCGCCAAUCCUAGAGAUAGGACGUUCCCUUCGGGGACGCUAAGACAGGUGGUGCAUGGUUGUCGUCAGCUCGUGUCGUGAGAUGUUGGGUUAAGUCCCGCAACGAGCGCAACCCUUAUGAUUAGUUGCCAGCAUUUAGUUGGGCACUCUAAUCAGACUGCCGGUGACAAACCGG